AGUGAUGAAUGAGACCUGUUUGGUGUAAUAUGAUUAAGUUUGGUGGUUACUUUGAACCAUUGAUGAUUUUACGCUGCCUCCAACACAUGGUGACUGUAUUGUCUAAUAAACAGAAACUUACUUAAAAAAAAAAAAGUCUCAAAUGUGCAGGUAAUAGUUACUGAUGUAGUUACACCAGGGUGGAGAUUUACACUCCCACUUCAAGCCACCUACAGCUUCUUUAAAACCUGUUUUUCUGUAAGAGAGUGAAGUGCUGUUGACUGCUUGGAACAGGUUUGACUCUACCCGCUGACGUUUGGCUCAGUGUUCAGAUGAUUGUUAAACACCCCUCAGAAGAGCGCCUGGAAAAACUGGUAAUGUCAGGUGAGACUUGCAUUCCUGGCUGAUUUUUUAGUGGCUUUGUAGGAGAUGGCUGCAUAUAUAAGGAGUGUCCUUGUCAGUGAGGAGUCUAGUCAAGAAGAAGAACACAGAGUGAAGCAGCAUGGAAAUGCAGCCUGUGCUGGGUGUGUCUGUGAUGUGAAUGUGGCUGAUCCAGCUCUGAGUGGGAGGAGCAGCCGCCUCCCUGUGCCUCACACAUUUCUGUCUCCCUGGCCAAGUGGUUCUUAACAGUUCAACAGUUCUCUAUCGAAAUUGUGAAAUGUUUAGGACCACUUGAUCCGGGGGAUUCGCUCUGCCAGGCGUCACACGGAAGCCCCAAGCUCUCUCAUGUACACAUUGCAUUUUUGGAUAAAGCCUGGAACCAUCACAGAAAAGAAACAAACGACUUGUCCUAUCUAUAUAGAAUUACUUGCUGUAUUUGUGCUUUAAUCGAAAUGGCAAGUUGAGGUGUGGAAAUGUUGUAAUAGAAUAUUGACUGAUGAAUAAUGUAUGGACUAUUGUUAUAGGACAGCUGGUGCAAAUGAUCAGGAUUAAAAUCUUUAAAUAUC